UACAAGCACUAGUCUACGGCUUUGCCUGCAACUGUUUGCCCAAGAGCCAUCUGAAAAUGAGCAUCGUUCUACGAAUGGAAUCCCAUUAUCACCUGUAACACAGAGAAGGUGUUCACAUAGAAAAAGCUAUUUCAGCAGACUGAAUUCAAAGUUGUUUUCAAUGACAGGCCGACCUGUGACCACCUCACAAAAUUUUGGAGUGGAAGCCAAGUCUUCAGUAUCAGUGAACGCAACUUCCAGACAAUAUCCCUGGCAAGUGGCCUCCUCACACUUGAGUGUGAGGAGGUGGCAGCAGGCUUCCAGAGGCAAAGUCUUUGGCAACAGUACUUCCCUGGGGCCCGAGAUUCCGAAGCUCCUCUCCUCUGUGCCCACUCACCUCUCCAGCCUGGCCACGUGCGAAAAGCCUCGCCAACGGAGCAGCUCCUUCAGUGUCUGAGUAGCUCCCAGAGGCUUCUCUCUUUCAGGUUUACAGUGCGUGCGCAGCCGCUCAGGUUCCCAUUAAAGCCUUGCUUUCUUCAUUGUGUGUGUGCCUAGGCGCUCAGUCGUGUCCAACCCUUUUCAACCACAUGGACUGUAGCUCUCCAGGCUCCUCUGUCCAUGGGAUUUUUUUCAGCCAGGAAUACUGAGAUUGCUCACUGAGGUUUAUCAGGAGAGAGAGAUGGAAUUGGGAACCAGACAAGUCCCUAGCCUUCCUGGGACUUGUCUUCUACUGAGGAAGACAAGACACACGGUGAAACAAGUGAAUGCAUAAUACUGUGGCAGGAUGGACUGGUUGGAUCUCCUUGCAGUCCAAGUGACCCGCA